rnacentral:rRNA from 1 species
GUCGAGAAUUUUUCACAAUGGGGGAAACCCUGAUGGAGCGACGCCGCGUGGGGGAUGAAUGGCUUCGGCCCGUAAACCCCUGUCAUUCGGGAUCAAUGCUACACACCUAACACGUGUGGAGUUGAUAGUACCGGAAGAGGAAGGGACGGCUAACUCUGUGCCAGCAGCCGCGGUAAUACAGAGGUCCCAAGCGUUGUUCGGAUUUACUGGGCGUAAAGGGUGCGUAGGUGGUCGGGUAAGUCUGAUGUGAAAUCUCGGAGCUCAACUCCGAAACUGCAUUGGAUACUAUUCGGCUUGAGGAUUGGAGGGGGGACUGGAAUUCUCGGUGUAGCAGUGAAAUGCGUAGAUAUCGAGAGGAACACCAGUGGCGAAGGCGAGUCCCUGGACAAAUCCUGACACUAAGGCACGAAAGCUAGGGGAGCAAACAGGAUUAGAUACCCUGGUAGUCC